rnacentral:rRNA from 1 species
ACGAACGCUGGCGGCGUGCUUAACACAUGCAAGUCGAACGGAAAGGCCCUGCUUUUGUGGGGUGCUCGAGUGGCGAACGGGUGAGUAACACGUGAGUAACCUGCCCUUGACUUUGGGAUAACUUCAGGAAACUGGGGCUAAUACCGGAUAGGAGCUUCUGCUGCCUGGUGGGGGUUGGAAAGUUUCGGCGGUUGGGGAUGGACUCGCGGCUUAUCAGCUUGUUGGUGGGGUAGUGGCUUACCAAGGCUUUGACGGGUAGCCGGCCUGAGAGGGUGACCGGCCACCAUGGGACUGAGAUACGGCCCAGACUCCUACGGGAGGCAGCAGUGGGGAGUAUUGCGCAAUGGGCGGGAGCCUGAUGCGGCAACGCCGCGUGCGGGAUAACGGCCUUCGGGUUGUAAACCGCUUUCGCCUGUGACGAGGCGUGCGUGACGGUAAUGGGUAAAGAAGCACCGGCUAACUACGUG